rnacentral:rRNA from 1 species
UACGUAGGGUGCAAGCGUUAAUCGGAAUUACUGGGCGUAAAGCGUGCGCAGGCGGCUUUGCAAGACAGAUGUGAAAUCCCCGGGCUCAACCUGGGAACUGCAUUUGUGACUGCAUGGCUGGAGUGCGGCAGAGGGGGAUGGAAUUCCGCGUGUAGCAGUGAAAUGCGUAGAGAUGCGGAGGAACACCGAUGGCGAAGGCAGCCCCCUGGGCUGACACUGACGCCUCAGGCACGAAAGCGUGGGGAGCAAACAGG